rnacentral:sRNA from 1 species
GCUACCAGGUACCGUGAGCAAUCACUGGAGCUGGAACACUGCUGCCUGAGGAAGAGAAGAAGUGCAGGCUUGUCAUUGUCUAUGCUGUUACUUGUGGUUCCCGGGUCUUCAGAGAGGAUGCACAAGAACGGGAGAACCGGCCCCUGGGAUUUGCUGCUCAGGACCCGAGUUCACUAAGACAUCAGGAGCAAGCACUGGAGGCCGGGUGCUGCUGGACCCAGAUGGGAGCCAUGCAGGACUUGACCAUGGCCUGCACACACUUCUUCCCAGGAGAAGGGGAAUGAGGAAGGAAUCAUGGGAAGGAGGACAUGUGGUGCUGUGACUUCUGAAACUAUUUUCCUCAUGAUGGCAGUUGUGCUCCACAAAAGAUCUUUUGAUUGUUUCCCCCCCCUCCCCGCUUCCUGUGUGAAAAAUUAUCAAGGAGAAUAUAGGUACCAAGGAAGAUUGGUUCGGUGAACUUUGCCUGUCCUCGAAUCGGUUCAGGGAUGGUUUGUUUUGUUUUUUGUUUUUGUUUUUUUGUUUUCUUGUUUUCCUUCUGAAGUCAUUCUGAGUCCUCAUUCUACCCUAGGUUGUAGGCCAUUUCCUUUUCUACAGCUGUUCAUACUCACCCUUUUUAGCUACUUAAUUUUGCUCUUGAUUGUCUAGUCUUAUUCAUUGGUUACAAUUUUCACACAGGAAAGGUAGUCUAGGAGCUUCGAAAGGAAAGCUUUUUUCAUGCAGGGUGAUUGGUAUUGCUGAGGGCUAACAACCCUUGCCUACCGUAUCCUAGAGCCUGGGUUUGCUCCCCAGGACUGAAAUGGGCACUGUUACC